rnacentral:rRNA from 1 species
CCUACGGGAGGCAGCAGUGGGGAAUUUUGGACAAUGGGCGCAAGCCUGAUCCAGCAAUGCCGCGUGAGUGAAGAAGGCCUUCGGGUUGUAAAGCUCUUUUGUCAGGGAAGAAACGGUGGGAGCUAAUAUCUCCUACUAAUGACGGUACCUGAAGAAUAAGCACCGGCUAACUACGUGCCAGCAGCCGCGGUAAUACGUAGGGUGCAAGCGUUAAUCGGAAUUACUGGGCGUAAAGCGUGCGCAGGCGGUUUUGUAAGUCUGUCGUGAAAGCCCCGGGCUCAACCUGGGAAUUGCGAUGGAGACUGCAAGGCUUGAAUCUGGCAGAGGGGGGUAGAAUUCCACGUGUAGCAGUGAAAUGCGUAGAGAUGUGGAGGAACACCGAUGGCGAAGGCAGCCCCCUGGGUCAAGAUUGACGCUCAUGCACGAAAGCGUGGGGAGCAAACAGGAUUAGAUACCCUGGUAGUCCACGCCCUAAACGAUGUCUACUAGUUGUCGGGUUUUAAUUAACUUGGUAACGCAGCUAACGCGUGAAGUAGACCGCCUGGGGAGUACGGUCGCAAGAUUAAAACNCAAAUGAAAUUGACGG